rnacentral:misc_RNA from 1 species
GAUGAAGAACCUAGCGAAAUGCGAUAAGUAAUGUGAAUUGCAGAAUUCAGUGAAUCAUCGAAUCUUUGAACGCACAUUGCGCCCAUUAGUAUUCUAGUGGGCAUGCCUGUUCGAGCGUCAUUAAGUCCACUUAAGCCCUGCUUAGUGUUGGGAGACUGCUCCAGCGGUGCUACCCUGUAGCUACCCUGCAGCUCCUCAAAGACAGCGGCGGAGUUGUGGUAUCCUCUGAGCUUAGUAACUUGUUCUAGCUUUCGAGUACACCACUUCCCCUGCCGUAAAACCCUUAAUUUUUAAUGGUUGACCUCGGAUCAGGUAGGAAUACCCGCUGAACUUAAGCAUAUCAAUAAGCGGAGGA